GACGAACCGUGCGAACGUUGUUCGGAAUCACUGGGCUUAAAGGGCGCGUAGGCGGCUUGACAAGUCAGGGGUGAAAGCUUUCGGCUCAACCGGAAAAGUGCCUCUGAUACUGCCGAGCUCGAGGGGGGUAGGGGCGGACGGAACUUCCGGUGGAGCGGUGAAAUGCGUUGAUAUCGGAAGGAACGCCGGUGGCGAAAGCGGUCCGCUGGGCCCCCACUGACGCUGAGGCGCGAAAGCCAGGGGAGCAAACGGG
rnacentral:rRNA from 1 species